rnacentral:misc_RNA from 1 species
AAUUCUGAGCUUGGGCUGGCCCCUAUCAAGAUAGCACGAAUCGAUAAGGCAAAAAUAUUAAGAUAAAAGCAUAAUAAGUUUAAAACCAAAAAUUAGAAAAAUCCGACAUACAUAGACUAGCCUUCGACCAUUUUCAACAAAGUUUAAGCAAGCGAAAUUACUUAAAAGAGUAUAGAAAUUAGCUCAAUAAACGUAAUUUCCGUGAAAAUUAAAACAAGGGAUUACUAGCUUCAGACCUGGGAUCCCCAGCCAA